CAGAACUGGAGCGGAGGACGUCACCAUGGAAACGAGGCGGCAGCCCAACCGUCAAGCAGCUGAUCGCUGACACUCAAUGUGGUUUCACUUUUUUUUUUAGAAAUGGUUUAGCGUCGUCAGAAAAAGUCCGUUAGCAUCUCAAAGAAGUGCCAGAAAAAAACCUCUAUGACGCAGGAGAAGUUCCUGAUUUUGACAUUUCUGAAGGGGGCUGCUGACAGAGAGGAUGAAAACAUACACAUUUUGAUGUCCACGCUGUAGGAGCAUUACUAAAUAAUGCUUAUGUUCCUAGGUUCUUCCAUGCUGAUGGCUGUGCUCUAGAGUCAUAUCUCCUGUCGAAGAACAUUUUUAGACAUUAUGAACCAUGAAUAAGUUUAGCUCCAACCCCAGUUAAGCAGACCUGAGCAGCUGAUCAAGGAUCAGCAGAAACUCUGCAGAACGGUGGUCCUCCAGCCCAGGACUGGACACCAGUGUUAGUGUCUGUCUCAGAAGCUGAAGAAAAAAGGCCACACCUUAUAGGAAAUAAACGCCUCCUAAGUGUAUGGAAAUACCUGGCUGAGGAGAUCAGUGACAUAAACCAGAUAAAACUGUCAGUGGUCUGAGACAGCUACAAGCCACAAAAACAGUUCAUAGUUCCUGCAUUUCUAUAAUGCAUUAAUGAAUAACAAUAAUUAAAAUAAAAUGUAAUGUCAAGGUUUUGUGUUAAUUCCAGCUAUGUUGAGUAUUCUGUGAAUAAUUUUGAUUUUAGGUGCAUAUUCUUAAUUCUUUGCAAAACAACCUGAACUGUUUGCUAUUGAAAGGUUGGUAUGAAGUUUAAAUAAAUAAAAACAUUAUAUUCUUGACAAAAC